rnacentral:rRNA from 1 species
CAGAACGAACGCUGGCGGCGCGUUUAAGCAUGCAAGUCGAGCGGCAAGGGCCUUCGGGCCCUAGAGCGGCGGACGGGUGAGUAACACGUGGACAAUCUGCCCCCCGGCCCGGGAUAGCCCAGGGAAACCUGGAUUAAUACCGGAUGAGACGGGACCCGCGAUGGCGGGACCCGGGAAAGGCGCUGCGGCGCCGCCGGGGGAUGAGUCUGCGUCCCAUUAGCUAGACGGCGGGGUAACGGCCCACCGUGGCGACGAUGGGUAGCCGGCCUGAGAGGGUGGACGGCCACAUUGGAACUGAGACACGGUCCAGACUCCUACGGGAGGCAGCAGCUAAGAAUCUUCCGCAAUGGGCGAAAGCCUGACGGAGCGGAACCGCCGCGUGAACGAAGAAGGCCGUGAGGUUGUAAAGUUCUUUUCGGGAGGGGGAACAACCGUGGCAGGGAAUGGCCGCGGGAUGACGUGAAUCCCGGAAUAAGCCCCGGCUAACUACGUGCCAGCCGCGGC